CAAUGGCAUAAGACUUGAGAAGAAAUUAAUUUUGGGUUCUAAAUGCAAAAACAAAACUAAACAUGCAAAUGCAGUGAUUCAAUUGGCUAAAAAAAACUAUGGAUGAAUGAAGUUGUUGGGGUUUACAAUUUCAUCUUAUCCACUCUCUCUUAUCUACUCCUCUUAUUUGAUUCGCUUUGUUAUCUAAUUGUCAUGCAAACUUUCUUAGUCUACCCUUAACCCGAUCCCUCGACGAAAAGAGCAUGUUAUUAAUUACUGGUUUGCUAUCCCUAGCCUCCCCUAGUAAUGAAUAAUGCAUGAUAAACGAAAGCAAAAACAAUUGAUCGUCCUAGCCCGUAUCCCUAGGUGGUAUUGCUUAAUCAAGGAAUUUCCCACCAGUUCAUGACAGUACUGUACGUUCCCGUAUCAAUAAAGAC
rnacentral:lncRNA from 1 species